rnacentral:rRNA from 1 species
AUUGAACGCUGGCGGCAUGCUUUACACAUGCAAGUCGAACGGCAGCGCGGGCUUCGGCCUGGCGGCGAGUGGCGAACGGGUGAGUAAUGCAUCGGAACGUGCCCAGUAGUGGGGGAUGGCCCGGCGAAAGCCGGAUUAAUACCGCAUACGACCUGAGGGUGAAAGCGGGGGACCGAAAGGCCUCGCGCUAUUGGAGCGGCCGAUGUCGGAUUAGCUAGUUGGUGGGGUAAAGGCUUACCAAGGCGACGAUCCGUAGCUGGUCUGAGAGGACGACCAGCCACACUGGGACUGAGACACGGCCCAGACUCCUACGGGAGGCAGCAGUGGGGAAUUUUGGACAAUGGGGGCAACCCUGAUCCAGCCAUGCCGCGUGCGGGAAGAAGGCCUUCGGGUUGUAAACCGCUUUUGUUCGGGAAGAAAUCCUCUGGGCUAAUACCCCGGGGGGAUGACGGUACCGGAAGAAUAAGCACCGGCUAACUACGUG